rnacentral:rRNA from 1 species
AUUGAACGCUGGCGGCAUGCCUUACACAUGCAAGUCGAACGGCAGCACGGGGGCAACCCUGGUGGCGAGUGGCGAACGGGUGAGUAAUACAUCGGAACGUGUCCUGGAGUGGGGGAUAGCCCGGCGAAAGCCGGAUUAAUACCGCAUACGCUCUAUGGAGGAAAGCGGGGGAUCUUCGGACCUCGCGCUCAAGGGGCGGCCGAUGGCGGAUUAGCUAGUUGGUAGGGUAAAGGCCUACCAAGGCGACGAUCCGUAGCUGGUCUGAGAGGACGACCAGCCACACUGGGACUGAGACACGGCCCAGACUCCUACGGGAGGCAGCAGUGGGGAAUUUUGGACAAUGGGGGCAACCCUGAUCCAGCAAUGCCGCGUGUGUGAAGAAGGCCUUCGGGUUGUAAAGCACUUUUGUCCGGAAAGAAAUCCUCUGGGUUAAUACCUCGGGGGG